rnacentral:rRNA from 1 species
GGAUGAACGCUGGCGGCGUGCCUAACACAUGCAAGUCGAGCGAAGCGCUAUACUUGAAUUCUUCGGAAGGAAAGUAUUGUGACUGAGCGGCGGACGGGUGAGUAACGCGUGGGUAACCUGCCUCAUACAGGGGGAUAACAGUUAGAAAUGACUGCUAAUACCGCAUAAGACCACAGCACCGCAUGGUGCGGGGGUAAAAACUCCGGUGGUAUGAGAUGGACCCGCGUCUGAUUAGCUAGUUGGUAAGGUAAGGGCUUACCAAGGCGACGAUCAGUAGCCGACCUGAGAGGGUGACCGGCCACAUUGGGACUGAGACACGGCCCAAACUCCUACGGGAGGCAGCAGUGGGGAAUAUUGCACAAUGGGGGAAACCCUAAUGCAGCGACGCCGCGUGAGUGAUGAAGUAUUUCGGUAUGUAAAGCUCUAUCAGCAGGGAAGAAAAUGACGGUACCUGACUAAGAAGCACCGGCUAAAUACGUGCCAGCAGCCGCGGUAAUACGUAUGGUG